ACAUGACUCUCGGCAACGGAUAUCUCGGCUCUCGCAUCGAUGAAGAACGUAGCGAAAUGCGAUACCUGGUGUGAAUUGCAGAAUCCCGCGAACCAUCGAGUCUUUGAACGCAAGUUGCGCCCGAGGCCAUUGGGCCGAGGGCACGCCUGCCUGGGCGUCACGC
rnacentral:rRNA from 1 species